rnacentral:lncRNA from 14 species
CUGUGCAGAGAAGGUGCUGGGGUAAACGAGGUGGGUUGGCUGCAGAGAGCUGGGAUAGGGGACAUGGAGAACACCUUUACAGAGCUGCUUCUCUGGCCCUUGGUACAGAUGAAGUCCAGCUCUGCUCUUCAACCAGGCAGGAGUCUGACCCUCUGUUUCCUGUGCUGGGGAGCCCCUCGCAGCUCAGGAGUGCUGCAUGCCAGGCAGAGCUGGGCUGCUGGGGCAUGCAUAGGGCUGUGCCUGCUGAAGCAGGGCCAGGGCAAAGGUUUCUUUCGCUCUCCGCGUGUUUGGCACUGACCUGGCAUGGGAGGUGUGGGGUGGAAGGUGGUGAGGAAGGGGAAGGGGCCGUGGCUGGGGAAGCUGUGCUGUGCUGGUGUGUCCCUGUUGGGCUCACAGUGUGGGUGAAAUGGGCAAGCCAGGGCUGAUCUCACCUCCUGGGUGUGCCCGGCUCUGCAUGCUCAUGUGUUGGGUUGGGCUGUGGGGAUUUGCCACGGUCCCUCACUGGAACCCUGGUGAGCAGCCUCAUUCUGCUGGGGGGCAUGGAGCAGGUGACAUGAAAGAGGAUGGUCACCCUCACCUGCAUGCCCCUCGGGGAUGCUGCACCACCUGCAGUGGUGAGCAGGGACCAUGGGAUAGGGUGCUUUGCCAUGGUGGGGCACUGGGGGGGGUAUUUGGCUGGCAGGAUUUGGGAGGCAAAUCACAGGCAUCCUGUCUGAUGAAACCCUGUUUGCAGGGAGCCUGAGCUGCCCCUGUGCUCUGCCAGCUGCCCUGCAUGGAUGCUGGGAUGCAGAAUGGGGCUGAGGCAUCACUGGAGGGAUGCCUGAUGGCUGAGGAGCUGGAGGAGAAGCAGCGCCCGGUGGCGCAGUGGACGGUGGCCGAGGCUGGCGCCUGGCUGGCGGCACGCAGCGGGGCCGGGGAGCUGGUGGAGCUGGCACAUGAGCACGAUGUCUCGGGCCGGGUCCUGCUGCGGCUGACGGAGGGGACCCUGCGGCGCAUGGGGGUGACCCCGCGGAGCCGGCGCCGGGACCUGCUGCGGGAGCUGCUGCAACUGCGGCUACAGCAGGAACUCGAGGAGCUGCUGAGCACCGUUGGCCGUGAGCAUCCCCACGCCAGAUGUGGGUUGGGGGGGGGCAUUGGUUCCCUAGGGUGAAUGCUGGUCAUUGUCACCUCUCCUCAGAGUGAAGAUAAUGUCACUGUGGAUGUCCUGGAGACUGCAGGAGGACAGAUGGUGCCAUGGGAGGACAAAGCAGUACCUAGGACUGAGCACUUGAUGCAGGAGCGGUGCUGGAGGGAGCCUUGAGGUGAUUUUGUCUCCCCUGAAGAAGCCCAAAGCUGGCUGGAAGAGGUGGCCACAGGGCCCCAGGUGGCACAAGUUGAAGGGUGGCUGCUGGCUCCCAGGGCGUCCUCUUGGCUCUGGCACGAUGGGGCACUCUACCAGCCCUCCCCCCGUCUCCGAUCCUGCUGCAACCAUGAAGCAGCCUGGCCUCAGGAGUGAUCCUCCAGUCUGUCUGUGGCGUAGGGCAUAGGGGGACAAGUUCCCAAGUUGCUGUGUAGAGGAACCUGUCUCCUUGGUGCCCUGGGGCUGGCAGGAGCAGGGCAGCAGAGCGCAGAACAGAACUGGUCUCAAUAAACAUUGUCCUGGUAAGUCCA